AGUGAUUAAUCACCUCUGCAAGGGAUGCCUCUGUCAGCCUGGGGCAGUAAGGGUGCGUGAUAAAAGUCAGCCCAGCUCCUCACUCUCUCAUCCACUUCUCUUGCCUCCUUCUCCUUGGGAGUCAGCUGCAGCUCCAGACUCAAGACAUGUCCUGCUAUGACCAGUGCCAGUCCUGCCAGCCCUGUGGCCCCACCCCACUGGCCAACAGCUGCACUGAGCCCUGUGUCAGGCAGUGCCAGAGCUCCACCAUCGUCAUCCAGCCCGCACCUGUGGUGGUGACCCUGCCUGGCCCCAUCCUCAGCUCCUUCCCUCAGAACACUGUUGUGGGCUCCUCCACCUCUGCUGCUGUUGGCAGAAUCCUCAGCUCUGAUGGAGUGCCCAUCAACUCUGGCUGCUGUGACCUGUCCUGCAUUUCCAGCUGCAGCAGAUGCCCCCCAUGCUAAAGAUGUUGGCAACAGCCUCGGCUACGGACCCCUAGGAACUCAGAUCAUGGUGCCGGACAGACAAUCAAACUUCAUGGUGUUGUUUCCAGACGUUGUUUUCAGGUCAUCUCUAGCUUAUCCUUCAAGGGCAGGCUGAAAGGUGCCUUUCUGAACACAUGGAAAAUGUGUACUUUUCCUCUCUUCCACUCACCCUUUUCUUCUCUUCUUUCUUUUGUGCUCCCCUCAAAUCCUGCUAUGAGGACUCCAGAAUCCAACCUGGAGUGAGCUGCUAAGCUGUCCCCUCUUUUGGAACAGCUGGACAGGAAAAGGGGAACAGAUUCUUGGCUGUUCCUGCUCCUUGCCAUACUGGGGCCUCCAGCUGGAGUGAACUUAUUUCCCUCUUUAGACUCAUUAAAGAAUUCUGCAAGCCUGCCUGUGUCUCAUACGUUGUCUUUCCACCUACAUACUGCCUGCUGAGGGAGAAAGCCAUUGCUUUGUGGAAAUACCGUGUGCAGGUCUGGGAGCCACAAUCUGAAAAGGAUAUAAAGCUUCAGGAGAGUGUCCAGAGGAGGCCCUUGAAGUUGCUGAAGGGUUUUGAGUGGAAGCUGUAAGAGGAGUGGCUAAAGACACUAUGUCUGUUGAGUCUGGAGAAGAAGACACUGAGAGGAGAGCUCAUCAUGAUCUACAGCUUCCCCACAAGGGGAAGAUGAGGGACAGACACUGAUUUCUUCUCUCCGGUGGCCAACGACAGAGCCCAGGGUGAAAGGCAAGAAGAUGUGCCAGGGCAGGUUUAGGCCAGAUAUUAGGAAAAGGUUCUUCACCCAGAAAGUAGUGGAGCACUGGAACAGGCUCCCCAGGGAGGUGUCACAGACAAAACCUGACAGUGUUCAAGAAGCAACAGGACAACACUCUCAGACUCAUGUGGAGCACAACAUCAACGAAACAUUUCCAGGUGCUUAACGAACCAACUGGCUCUUUCAAGCCCAUGUUUCCCCAAGACAAAUGGGCAUGGUUGAGAAUAUGCAUCCACAUAACCAUAACAGAUUUCAGAACUGUAUUCUAACAACCUAGUACAAAAUUAUUAGAGACUGAUUUGCUUUGUAAAAUAUGAAGAUGGAGAUUUCUUCACAGCCACAGCCUUUCAAAAUAUGUUUCAGAAGACCCAGACCAGCACGUCUUGCAGCAAUUUUCAUCAAUGUGUUCUGUUAAUAAAAUUUACAAGCCAUC